GCCGCGAUAGCUCAGCCUGGUAGAGCAUCACCUUGGUAAGGUGGGGGUCGCGGGAUCAAAUCCCGCUCGCGGCU
rnacentral:tRNA from 1 species